AAAUUCCGCAACAGUUUGUUUCAUCAGUAAAGAAUCAUCAGGCGGUAUAUCAUAUACCGCCUGAUGAUUUUUUACUGAUGAAACAGACUGUUGA